rnacentral:lncRNA from 10 species
CCAGUGGCUGCCCUAAAGCCGGCUCUCCAGGGCCGCGGAGCCUUCGCUCCCUUCCUGAAUGCCUUUUUUGUUGGGAAACAGUGGACUGUUUCUGAAGGCCUGCAUAAAUGACUGAGUAAUUCACUGCAGUUGCCAGGAAGUCGGAGCCACUUGUGAGCUAACAAUAGUGAACUUUAUCUCCCGCCCCAUGCUGGAAGUUCCAGCUGUAGGUCCCGAAUUCUAAUAAGGGCUUUGCUCAUGCCUCUGAGGUUAUGGUAAUAUUUUAUCCAUCUUUCUUCAUGAAGACACAGUCGCUGCUGCUAUUGACAACCGGAGGCCAGCACUGAGGAGUGACGUGGGCAGGGGGCCAGGGGUGAGGGUGCCUGUGUCGGGGAAGAUGGUGAAGAAAAUUCAGAGGAAGGAGGAAAGAAAGCGGUGUUCCUAUGAGCUCGACAUGUUUUCUGUUUAAUAGGAGACUCUAAACUGACGUAGAGGAGAGAAGAGAAAGAUUUCACUCUGACCCAUAAGUGGCUGGAGCGGAAAGAUGGCUUCGGACAUUUCCCGUGUUUCAGACGCUGCUCCUCCUCCUCCUCCUCCUCCUCAGCAGACGAACCGGCAGCCGAGGCUGAUCACGUGCUCAGAAUUAGUGUGAGGCUAUGAGGUUCCUCUUUGCUCCCCCGUUUGUGGGCAAAGCCGAUGUGUAUUAUUAAGUGAUUCUGUAUCCAGCCUUCCCACGAAAAUAAACCAGUGAAACCACCUGUGAGCCACACGUGCAGUUCACAAGAUGACAGAGGACACCACAAUCUGCAAGAUUACUUCAACACAGAGAAGGAGACCAAAUUUCAGCUAAGCCCCUGUCACCACCACUGGGAGCUUCUGGGCAAGGGGUCCGCAAGGUUUAUGUGACUUUGUGGAAAAAAAAACAAACAAAAACACAGGAUGAGGGUGCCUUAGAUGAGGCAAAGACCAUCUGGCCUCAAAAAGAAAAAUCCAUUCCUGGAUGCUGAAGGACUGGUGAUGGAUGGCUCAGGCCUUGGUAGUUCAGAGCAACAGCCACCUGGAAGGGACUUUGAACAUGAGUCAGGCAGGAAGAGGCAGCCCCAGAGGUGGGCUUCUCCUGGAGAAGAUGCACAAAGAAGGAAUGGAAACCACCAGGGACAUGUCACGAAGGAGAAGGGAGGAACCGAGGGGGACCUACAGAGAUGAGAGAUGACAGCAUAGCAGACCCAGCAAACCAUCUCUUUCCCUCCAUCAUCACUACCACCAUCCACCAAGGAAACCAAACCAAAGAAGACAGAUGUACCAAAAAGUGCACUCUCAUGUUAGAAAUCACACCCAUGAAAUGAACAGGAAGAGAAAAUGUGGACCACAUUCACAGGAAACUGUAAUAAGAAAAUAGAAAAUGUGAACCAACAGAUAGAAGCUGUGAAAAAAAAAUCAAGCAUGAAACAGAAGAAAAUUGUCACAGAAGUAUCAAAACUGAAUUAAAUAGACACAAAAAAGAAUUUGAAGAUAAGGAAAUACUUUAGAUCGAAAAUUUAAAAAUAAAAAUAGAGGCAGGAAACAGAACAAAAAAAUAAAACAAGAGUUAAGGAAAUGCAAGGACAGAAAAGAGAGUAAAAUGUUAGAAUCUUAAAGGAAAUGAAGGCUAAAUUACCAAAGAUGACCAAAGAAGAAUAGACUCAAAUAAAAGCUUAAUAAGGGUCAUGGAAAAAUUAAGAAACACAAUCAAGAGGAUAACAUAAAGAUAUAAAGAAGAUGGAUAAAAAGAGUGAAAGAGAAAAUGGUUGAAAUGUUGGAGAAGAAAGAUGCAACAUUUGUGCUGGUUACUUUUAUGUUUCAACUUGGUGAGGCUGUAGAAACCAGUCACUUAAACACUAACCCAGGUUUUGCUGUGAAGGUGUUUUGUAGAUGUAGGUUAACAUCUAUAAUCAAUUGACUUUAAAGUAAAGAAAGUAACUCUGGAUAAGGUGGUGAGCCUCACCUAAUCAGUUGAGGAAGUAAGAGAAAAACCUGAGGUUUCCCAGAAAAGAAUAAAUUGUGCCUCAAGUUUGCAGCAUCAACUCUUGGUGAGUUCCCGGCAGUUGGUCUGCUUUGCACAUUUUUCUCAUGCCAGCGUCACAAUCGUGCAAUCUACUUCCUUCAAACAAAUUUUCAUGUAUCCUAUUGUUUAUCUUUUCUCUGGAGAACCCUAAUACAAUAUGUGUAUGAGUGUGCAUGUGUGUGUGUGUGUGUAUGAUUGAAAUCUCUGAAGAAAAAAAAAACAACGUGGUAGAGCUAAUAUUUAAAAUUAUAAUUCAAGAAAUAAAAAAAUAAAACACUGUAUUAAAAAAUCUGAGUUACAUUUAAAGCAGCAAUAAUAGAAAAUUUAUGCCCUAGCAUCCAUGUCAAUAAAAAUAAAAGAAUGAGAAAAAAGACUUGCAAUCCUAAGUAAAA